GUAUUUCACGGAGUGGGAGUGAAACCAAGCAAUAGGAGAUAACCCCGCGUUAGCGGACCAAAGCCCCGAACAGUCCGCUAACGCGGGGUUCCAGUGUAUUAAUCAUAUUUAAUAAUUUAUACUUUACACGUACAGAAUUAUGUAAUCGCGUGAAUAAUAAAAAAUUCUCACGGAAUAGAUGCAGCGGAAAGUUAAAAUUUCGCAAAAUUACAUGAUUAAUUCCCUGAAAACAAGCCUGAAGAUGUAAGCUCAAGUGAAUCAUUGCGCAUGGUGAGGAUAAAUUAUAUUUGGAUUAAAAUGCAUCCGAGAAUUAAAUACAAAAAGAAUCUCAUAUGUCUUAUAUGUAUGUACAUGUACGUAUGUAUGUACAUACAUACAUAAUAUGUCAUUUUGUUUUUUAGCAUUUUAAUCCAAAUGUGCUACUACGCAUUCUGGGGAACAAUUCACCUUUCUUUUUACAUCAUGGAAGAUAGAUCUGGGAUACGUUCGGGGAGACGCUAUUAAUGCUAUCAGUAUCAAUUUAUUCUUCUUCUCUUAAAACCAAUGAAGAUAGAUUUGGACUGAUAGUACUAAUAGCGUCUCUCCGAACGCACUUUUGGUCUACAUUUAAUAUCAUUCUUCUUCUGUUUUUCAGAUUUGAUUCCCAUUGAAAAACAAAUAAAAACACAAUUGGUUUUAGUAUUAACGUUCCAGCAUUUAUUUCUCAUUUGACAACAUUUUAUGAUCGAAAUAGUUGCUGAAUGUAUUCUUCCCAAAUGCCUUACAAAUGUUUCGAGCAAUUUGUCCCACUUUAGUGCCGAGUUUAAAUUUAUACAAUAGAUAGGCGCAAAUAACUUUCGAAAUGGCUGUCAUUGUUACACUCAUAACUCUAAAUACACUGAUUUAUUCAUUCAUUACAUAUCAACUAUUAGGCCUUGUCACAUUGUCAUUUCCAUUAAUACACAGGAUGUUAAUAAACCUUCGCAUAAUAUUUAUACCAUCAUGUAACCCACGAAAAUCAAAGACAAAAAGCUCUCUAACAUCUUUCGAUAUAAUGGCACUAAUGGCAUCUGUAGUUUUCACGCAUAAAAUAUUUACUUAUUUAAACUUAUAAUCAAAAGAGUCUUAUUCCUUAAACGUUCUUAAACAUAACCAAAUGAUUAAUAUGAACAACUAAGAAAAAAAUAUCAAUAUAAAUUCUAAAAAGAUCACAUAAUAUUAUUACUAACAUUUCUUCUAAAUAUAAUUUGUUCAUAAAUAAAAAAAGUACAGGAAUCAAUAAAUAAAUGCAAGUGAUAUUAUAGCAAAAAUAAUACAAAAAGCAUAGAGUAUAACGAAGUAAAAAUAAUAUUAAAAAUAAAAAUAAUAAGCAUUAAUAAUUAUAAAUAGCUUAUUAAAAUUUGUUGGAAAUCUCACUUAAUCCAUAUCCUACCAAAAAGACGGAAAGUUCUAGAAUUAAAAAAAAGUUAAAACAUGAUUUUUUUAUUACAACAGUGUGUACAAGACAAUUCCGCAGAGAAAAAUUAUCGUUGCAUUAUCACUUCACCAUUUGAUUCCAAAAACUUUUCUUCCAGGAACAGAAGACAUAGGAAAAACUGCCAGUAAAGCAAAUAGCAUCAGGGACUUGAGUACAAUAUUCCCAAAGUAAAGUUAAUUUGAAUUCUUUCUAUCGAUCUAAUUCAGUUAAUGAAUGAAAACGAAAUCUAGUUAAAACUCACCAAUGAGGAAAGUUAAACGAGGAAUUAUUGUAUUUUGCUAUUUCAUAUAUUUGCACUUCAUGCAUGCGCGAAAAAACUGACCCUUGUAACAACACUUGGACCAAGGAUAUUCAUUUUCACACAGAAAAACCGAUCUAUUUCUUUUACCAUCUAUCUAAUAACCCAGAGUCGAAAAAUCUGUUUGAGUCUUCAAAUUCCUAUUCAUCUGCGGAGGGUUAUUAUAAGAAUGCUUCCUGUCGAGAGAUCAUUCAACGUAUGUGCGUAUUGUUAUUGGUAUUAGACAAUACAUACAAGAGAUACAAGUAUCUCUUUACUUAUUAUUUCGAUAAAUUUACAAUCGACAGUCUAAAGGCCUGUUCUUUUUCACUACAUUGGUGUAAAUUAGAAUGAAACACAUACAUAUUUGUCUCAUUCUAAUUUGUUGCCCCAGUAUAGCAGUGUAGCGAAAAAGAACAAGCCCUAAAUUGAUUAAAAUGUUAAUUUCAUGCAUUUCAUAAGUAAAGAGAUACCUGCUAUAGCAAUUUUACGCUCCAGUGAAAUGGUUAGACAAGAGAUGACAGGUACAACGAUAUCGUAUUUCUAAUGAAAGUGAAAUUGUUAUUUUAAAGAUUAUAUGUUUGAAAAAAAUAGUAGCAAAUAUUUGUUAUAUAAUUUUUUGUUUUAUUAUCGUGAAAAGAAAGGUUGAGAGCCAUUGCGUGACAAACAAAGAAAUAAGGACGAGAUUUAAAAAAAAUUUUUAUAACUUUUUUGUUGCAAAUACAAACACGUCGUUGCAGGAACUUGGAUAUCAUUAUCAUGUUAAUCAUGUCACUUACUUUUCGACAAAAAUACGUGCACCGUAACGCUAGGUUUCUUGCAACGACAGAGUUAUAUUUAAGAAUAAAUUUACCAGCGUAGCAGAAAUACCAGGUGUAGCCGUUUUCGAACACACUUUGUUGGAAUGCAUCAGUUCUUGAAGUGAAUUAAAAUAAUUUUGAUUUUUUAUUUAUGACAUUUUUAUAUAUGACAUUAAAUAAAUAUACAUACAAUUUCUUAAUUAAAAUAUAGACAUUUGAUCUAUCUAUUUAUUUAUGCCAAUGAGAAAAUAAUUUAAAUGAAAAAAAAAAUUUCUUACAUAAAGAUGUAUGAGUAUUUUAGCCUUUUUUAUGAGCUCAAGUUUACUAGCUUAAGUUAAGCCAUAUCUUCCUCAAAGAUUUUGUCUUCUGUCUUUUGUCAAAAGUUUGGUAAGUUUUAUGAAACAAUACUAUUGGUUCGAAAAGAUUUAAAAAUUACUGAAAAACCAUUCGAAUCUAAUGCUGUACACUAGUUCCAAUAGUUUUUCCACAAGUCUAAUAGUAUUUUUCCAUAAUAUUUUUCUUCAGCAUAUUUCAGUGAUAUGCUUUUUACAUAUAAGUAUAUAGGAACUACAAUUUUUAUGUCAGUUCUGAAUUGUUUAUAUCAUUAUAUAUAUUUCUACCAAUGUGUAAGUUAACUUCGAUCUCAGUUUAUAGCAUAGUAAAAAACAUUUUGUAUUUAUGUAAAAAUCUUUAUCAAAACUUAUGUUGUAUUUUUAACAUGUUAAAUUAACAGUGUUAAUUUAACAUAAUGCGAUAAUAUUAUUUAAAUAUGUUGUGAAAUUUCUAACAUAAUUGUGUAUUAAUUUAACACAAGUCGUUAUGUUGCUUAGACUUUUGCAUGUUAAAUUAAUAUUAACUAUUUUCAAAAAAUUAAAAUAAUACAAUUUAUAUGUAAAUAUUUGUAAAUACAUAAAUUGUUGAUGACAUAUUUUAUAUUAAAAUGAACAGAUAAUUAUGUUAUUUUCCUCUUUAUAACAGUUAUCAUGUAUUAAAUAAAUAUAUUUCUUAUUGUUAUUAAUCAUAAAGCGAUCGCUAUAUUCUAUUGUUUGUUUAUCGUCAAAGUUUUUAAUACACAAAUCGUCAAUUUAACAUUUUAAUUUUACUAUUUUUAAUGUUAAAAUAACAUUUUAUUUUAAUUACAUUUAACAUUAUACGUAUGUCAAUUUAAUAUAAAGUUUGGUUUCUGACCAAAUGUUAAACUUUUGUAUUAGUUUAUUACAUAUUCAUAUUACUUUUUAAUACAUUUGCUUUAUGUAAAUAGUUACAUUAAAAGUUUGAGUGGAUAAAUUCAAACAUAUGAAAUUAUGUGUUAAACAUAAAUUUUUUUUAGUAUAAAUGAAUAAAUAACAAAAACGUAGUUACUAAAUAUAAGGUCUAACAAUAAUACGGUACGAUUGUAAAAAUGUACAUCAACAUAUCAUAAAUAUUAAUUUUGUUAAAGAAGUAUGUUCUGAAGUCUUGUGCCUGCUUAAAAAACAUCUAUUUCUGAAUUGUGUCAAAAUGUCAUAUUUUUGUAUUAAUAUUUCUUACAUAUUAUUUAUAUUACUGUCUGAUCUGAUAUUUAUUUUGUAAUAUAUUAACACAAAAAUUAAGACAUAAUCAAUUUGGCAUUUACUGUUGAUUCCCGAUUUAUAACUACGAUUAAACAUUUUUGUUUUCUUUUUUUCUUUUUUUUUUUUUAGUAUACAAAGCACCCUUUAUAUCUCAUCAGAUAAACAACAAAAUCUUUUUGGCAUAAAUAUAGGAUUCAGAAUCAAUGUCAAUGGUUGACUAGGAUUUAUGUACAAUGUUUUACGUUUAGAUUUGUCAUGUAAUAUCCAUUUUUCCUAACUAAAGUCCAGAAAAAUAAAAUACGGAAACCAUUGAUUCUAAUAUUUGAAUUAUUUCUUUCACUUCGAGCACUGAGCUAUUGUUAUCGAUGAUAAAUCGACUUCAGCGAGUGCUUUGGUCAAUGGGACAUAUUAUUAUAUUGAUAAAAAAUUGAUUCACAAUAUUAGGCGCCAGUAUACUUAGUAUAAAUAACAAUUUAUUACAUUAUCAAUUUUGCUACAUAAAGAAAGAUCCAUUGACGCAAUUGACGAAUCAUUAUUAAUAUUACAUAAAUUCUGGACAAUUUAAUGCUUUCCAAGAAAAUACAUUUUAAGGUUUGGAUCUUAAUGUAUUUUAACUGCGCAUUUCCGACGCCUUUUCAUACUGAUAUGUACAAAUUGUUCGCAGCGUUAGUUUAUUAUAUAAUACAUUAGCAAUUUUGUCUAUGCCAUAUUUAAUUAGUAUUAAAAUGUAAGGCACAAUAAAAUAUCCCAAUUUGUAGUUUUGUCAGUCAAAGAAAAAUACUAUAUUAAUCGCAAAAAAUGUUAUCACAAGAAAAGCUAUAUUAAAUGCGAAUAAUAUAUUAUUACAAGUGCAUUAGACUAAACAAUUCGAGUAAAAUGAUUACGCCAGUCAAUAUUUUAACGAGUGCAUUUCGAAUUUACCACAUAUUUAAUAACCACUAAUUAGUUUAUGUUAAAUAAGCUCGAACCGUCAACGUAAUAACUUUCUUGUAAGAUAGCGACUAUUUCUAGUAAGUUACCCUGGUAAGAGCAUACUUUGACUUUCAUAAUUCUCAUCAUUUGCUUCUUUUGAUGGAUUUAAACAAAAUUUUUAAUUUAUUGUAAUAUGUAUAUUAAUUAUUAAUAUUUAACUACUUAUAAUUUAUUUAAUCUUAGUGUUGGGUAUCUAUACAUAAACAGCAAUCAUAUACGGACAAUUUAAAUUAUCACUCUUUUUAUAUAGUCCAAUUAAAUAAGACAACAAAGAAUCAUCGUUAUUUAUUAUUUACUUAUUUACUUAUCAGACUGCUUGUUAGAAGAUAGCUUGGAAAUACUGUACGGAGGAAGACCUCAUGCGUGUAUGCCCAACACUGAAACUUCAAAUUUCGAAUUUUGAAAAUACUAAAACUUUUCAAAUAUGCUAAAAUAAAAAAACAAGAUUUUUAUAGAUAAUUGGAAUAUUUAACGGCAUUUCAGACUAUAAUUACUGGAAACAGUUGCAAAACUUUUAAUUAUUUGAAUCGCAAUGUCGAUCGCAAUGACUCGCUUGCUAUUAAAAAAUAGCGUUUCGGCGCUUUGUUAUUGAAUUUCACAUUAAAUUUUCAAACAUCAGGAUGUAGCUUUUAAUACUGGUUUAACAGAGCUGGCUUGAGAAUAAUCGAAAAAGCGACUAUGCACUCGCGUGCUCAUAGAGGCGGUUUCUCAUAGUAUUUAAAGAACCUUUUUACUGUAACUCUACAUUUAUAUACGUCGUGAUCCUUGUCUCUUACGCCGUAAUUAAGGGUGGUCGGACCAAAUCUGGGCACAUUCGACUCUGUUAUACAGUUUUCUUUCUUCGAGGAAGAAAAAAAACAGGAGAGAAAGAUCAAUACCUAGAUUUUUAGUAUGUAGACAACGCAGACCGCCCUUGGGGCUUGCUACAAAGAACGAAUUUUAGUAUACAAAAGAGUACUGCCUCAAUUCUUAGGAUAAAUUAAUCGCAUUACUAACGACGAGGAAAAUUGUAAGAAAAAAGAUGAAGAUGAAACGUAGACGGAAAUAACGGCUUCCGUCGGUGAUUAUUAUCGAAACCAAAGUACUCUGAUUCUGUUUCUUUCCUUACGAUAAUAAUAGAAUAAUAGAAUCUCUAACAGAUUUGGUCUGUUCUUUUUCGCUGCACUACUGCACUGGUGUAGUAAGUUAGAAUGAGAAAAAAUAUAUUUAUCUCACCUUAACUUGUUGCAUCGGUGCAGCGGUGCAGCUAAAAAAACAUCUCUUUGGUGAAAAGCGAAUACGUUGACAUUAUAGCUUUUAAAAUCUGAAUUAAUUUUUAUGUAAACAAUAUUGUUCUCAAUUUGUAAAUGAAGAUAAUGGGGGGAAGAUAAAGAACUUUUUGCGAAUUAAGUGUUAAAGACAUGAAGAAACGACGAAGGUCAUUUGCCAUUACAGUUGAAGUGAGAUGUUCACAAUUCUUAAGUUUUGUUGAGAAAAAUUUGACUCUAAAUUGUAUAAGAAAAGAAAUACGCAAUUACUUAAUAUUACAGUGAUUACUUAAGACGAGUAUUAUGUAAUCAUUUUCCUUUCAAUUCUCGGAUAUCCUGUGUAUUCACGACAUCUUAUACUGCCAUACCUGUUCAAUUGAUUAAAUAAGUUUUCAUUGUGUACGUAGAAAUCGUUAUGUUAAACAGUAAAAUUAACGCAAUGCUUA